GACGAACCGUGCGAACGUUGUUCGGAUUUACUGGGCGUAAAGGGCGCGUAGGCGGCCACUGCAAGUCAGUUGUGAAAUCUCCGGGCUUAACCCGGAAAGGUCAACUGAUACUGCAGGGCUAGAGUGCAGAAGGGGCAACUGGAAUUCUCGGUGUAGCGGUGAAAUGCGUAGAUAUGCGGAGGAACACCGAUGGCGAAGGCAAUCCCCUGGGCCUGCACUGACGCUCAUGCACGAAAGCGUGGGGAGCAAACAGG
rnacentral:rRNA from 1 species